ACGGAUUCCGUGCCGCAGCAAACGCAUUAAGUGCCCCGCCUGGGGAGUACGGCCGCAAGGCUAAAACUCAAAGAAAUUGACGGGGGCCCGCACAAGCGGCGGAGCAUGCGGAUUAAUUCGAUGCAACGCGAAGAACCUUACCAAGGCUUGACAUACACCGGAAACGUGCAGAGAUGUGCGCCCCGCAAGGUCGGUGUACAGGUGGUGCAUGGUUGUCGUCAGCUCGUGUCGUGAGAUGUUGGGUUAAGUCCCGCAACGAGCGCAACCCUCGUCCCAUGUUGCCAGCGGGUUAUGCCGGGGACUCAUGGGAGACUGCCGGGGUCAACUCGGAGGAAGGUGGGGAUGACGUCAAAUCAUCAUGCCCCUUAUGUCUUGGGCUUCACGCAUGCUACAAUGGCCGGUACAAAGGGCUGCGAUACCGCGAGGUGGAGCGAAUCCCAAAAAGCCGGUCUCAGUUCGGAUUGGGGUCUGCAACUCGACCCCAUGAAGUCGGAGUCGCUAGUAAUCGCAGAUCAGCAACGCUGCGGUGAAUACGUUCCCGGGCCUUGUACACACCGCCCGUCAAGUCAUGAAAGUCGGUAACACCCGAAGCCGAUGGCCCAACCGCAAGGGGGGAGUCGUCGAAGGUGGGACUGGCGAUUAGGACUAAGUCG
rnacentral:rRNA from 1 species